UCAGUCAGCCGUCUCGGCUCUCGGCGUGCAGAGAGAAUUUUUGUCUGAAAAGAAAUCCGUAUUUUUUUGUCGUUUGUCUCGUCUCUUUGACGUCUACUUGCCCGUAAUUUUUAACGAUCGGGUUGUUCUCUUCGCGAUUUAGCACACAUCACACAUAAACUGCUCUAAUAUAGCAGAAAUCGCAAGUUAAAAUUCCUCUCUGCUGCAAAAUCAACGAUCGAAAUUCAAGAUAUCGGCCUCAACUGGAAUGGCUUCUACAAAUUCGGCAGUUUGAAAAGCAUCUGAAGCAACGAGAAUUCCACUAAAUCAAUUUGUAAGAAUUGAUAAUUAAAAUGGCUGAAGUUGUAGCUGAAAAUUGGAACGAGAUGUUUCUUAAGAUGAAGAAGUCUUUGGAAGGAGCAAUUUUCAUCUCCAUCGACAAUGAAUUUUCUGGUCUACGAGAUAUGAACGCAAGUACCCGCAUUUCUGGACUCUGUAGAAGUGGAGACCAUCGUCCUGACGAAUACCGCGGUUCCUCGAGGCAUCGCGAAAAUCCAUCCUCGUCGUGUUUGCAGUUCUCUUCUAGAUUUCUCUCAAGGCUUUUCGUCUUGACUCUGGGCAGUGUUGCUGGCUGCGCGUGACGAAUUUGAAUUUUCAACCGCAAAUGGUAAUAAUUAUUUAAACGACACCUUUUAUGCGACGAUGAAUUGAAGACCCUCUCGGGCCUCUCGCCACCCCCUGUGCAGUGGAAACCCUGAACAGGAAUAAUUUAUCGUUUUAACAAAAAAAAAAAAUGAAUGAAAUGUUUACUUUUCUUUAGUGAUAAAUUUUAAACAGAAAAGGAGUCUGCGCGAAGCAGCAAACUGUACCGCCAAGUGAAUUGGGAGGUUAUAUUGUUAGAGAGUUUAGUUGUGGCACGCCUACAGCGUUCAUUUCAAUAAAUUACAUUAUACAUAAAUUUUAAUUUUAUAUAUUAAUUUUUUUUUAAUUUUAUUUUUUUUAUCAAAGUUGGUUUUUGCGUAUUAAGGUAAAUAAAGAAAAUAAUCAUAAAAAUAAUUGGCGUAAUUGGCGCAAACCCUUUUAUAUCUUACAAUUUUAGGUGCAUGUGAGAAUUUGAAGAAAAAAAAGCAAUUAUUUAUUUUUUAUCCACAUCAGAUGAUUGCGUGUGCCACACAGCCAUAAAGCUGAGUAAAAGGAAAUCACUGACGAAAUUGGUGCAUAGUUUGUUAUGGUUAUGCCGCUAAAUUGUUGUGUAAUUGCAAAGUUUUAAGGACUUCAUAUUGAUAUAGUCAAAUCAAGUCUUUGCAACAAUAGAAGCAAUUUUUUGCAAUUAUUGUAAAUUUAACAAACCAGUCGUAAAGACUUGAUUUGACUAUAUCUAUAAGAAGUCGUUAAAUGAGUGAAUACCACAAGUUUUUUGUGUCUCAAUAAUAUAUUUUUGAUUAAUUGCAAAUAAUAUUCAGCAUUAUUUCAGUUAUAAUUCCCUUCAAUAAAAAUCGAAAAUGAAAAUAUAAAGCAGUGAGGGAAUAAAACUGCUUAUAAUAUUUCAGUAAUAUUGCUGAAUAAUGUAUGAAAAUAUUUUCAUACAUUAUUCCUGGAUGAAAAAGCAUUGCAUUUUUUAAUUUUGAAUAAUGUGGAAUAGAUUCUGAAAUUAAUUUGAACAUAAUCAAAAUUAUUGAGGAAAUAAAAAUUUCUGGUUGGGUGCAAUUAUUAAUUCAAAGCCUUGCAUAUUUAUGUUUUUAUUCUGAUAUAUUAUUUUCUUGAAUUAUAUUGAACGUAAAUACAUUCUCAAUUAUACCUGAUAAUGUAUUAUUUUCUGAUUUUAUGGAUCUGAAGUAUUUCGUAUAGAGAAUAGAGCGCAAUGAGCCACGCAUCAUGAAAUUGUUUUUUUUUUUUUAUGUUUAAAAGAAUAUGAAAAUUUGAAUGAAGCGCCCUCGCGAAUGCGAGAAUUAAAAACAAAGUAUUUAAAUCUUCCAUCAAAAUUUUGAGUCUUAUUAUAUAUUAUUGCUAAGAAUAAUAAAAGCCAUAUUUGAUAUUUUGAAAAUCUCUUUAUUUAUUAAGUAUUGUUUAGAGCAUGGCGUCUGCAGAGAAAAGAUUUAUAUUGCCGAAAAGCCUCAUCAAAUACCUCCCACAAUAUUGAACGCACUCGAAAGCCACUUCAACGGAAGCACCAAAAGGCUAGAUCGGAGCGAGCAAUCCAGAAACGGCAAUUAAUGAUUGGCAAUGACAACGCCGUCGCCAUUCUCUCGCUUUCCGCAACGACGUGCCCAUGAUAGACUCCAGAACCAGAAAAACGGUUGAAGAGAUUUUGUGCACUAUGCUUGUCGAAGCUGAUGUCGUAUACAUUGUUGAUGAUUGUUUCAUGAUGCCCGACCAAUUAACUUCCUACAGACAUUUUACAAGCGGUGAAGGAGAACGCUACAGGCACUCUCAAGAUACAGAAACUCUCAGUGCUUGCGCACUAUGAGCUUCUUAGUGUCGCAUUAGAUUGCACCUCGGAACAACUCCGUGAAGCGUGCUCGCGGCACCAUUUUUCAUCUGAACAGGAUGAGAUACCAGCUAGGUACCAAAAUCUACCUUCUUGUAAUUUUACAGUACAGGUCUCUAAAGAAAAUGUCAAUGUUUGGCAGUGAGAAUGAAAGGGCUUUAGCUUCUCUGCGGCAGAGAAAAGGUUCAUCAUCCCUAAAAGCCUGAUCAACUAAUACUUCCUUCAAAUAUUCAUGUGCUUGAAAGCAAUUUGAACGAUAGCACAAGAAACCUCAGGUCGGGUCGAGCCUUGCAGAAAUGUCAGUUGAUCAUCGGGAAUGAAAACGCUGUCGCCAUCCUUACCUUCCGAAACAGCGUUGAUGACAUGGAAUCAAGGCCGCGGUCACGGAAGACGGUGGAACAGGCAUAUUGCACAAUUGGCUCAUCAACACUGAUGUGAUUUACAUCGUAGACGACGAUUUAAUGAUGCCUAAACAGCUACCUGGUGACAUUUUCAGAGCCCUCAAAGAAAAUGCUGUUGGAACUCUGAAAGGGCCAAAACUCUCCAUUUUGGCUCACUUUGAAGCUCUUGGUGUCCCAGUGGACUGGCACUACAAACAAACUCCGAGCUGCUUGCGCUUUGCAUCAUUUCAGCGGAGCAAGAGAUGAUGAUCCAGAAGGUCUUGCAGCUCACAAGGAAAUUGCUAGCUUUGACAUCCCAAUGGAGAAAGUCGGUGCCUCUUUAGCUAUAUUAGGUACCAUUUACAAGGACAUGUGCAACAAAAGCAUGACAACACUUGGCAAGGUAAAGGAAAACAUCAUUCGUCUGUUGGCGUUCAGAAACUUGGAAUUACCAGAGCGGAUGAAUCUUGAGGCGAUGAAGACCCCAGUUAGAGGCGAAAUUGAGGAAUGCGAACACAGUUCGCGUUCUCAAAGACACCGUGUCUAUGCCUAAGAUGCCAAGAGAGAUUCUAGUUUUCCUUGAACAAGAAUGGAAUUGAUGGACUUGACGCUCUGAGCCUGGUGGUUUAUGGGCACAUUCGAGGAUUAGAAGGAAUUGACCUCAGCUCUGACACUGCAACUUUGCUCGCUGCAAUUCGAUCAAAAAUCCAAAGGCCGCCAGGUGGCCAAGGUGCCUCGGGGUGUAGCACCCCUGGUAACAGUGGUACUCAGCAGCCAUCACGAAAACGCAAUAAGCCGAUGAAUACCUUGAGGUCCCUGCCGAAAGAACAGCGUGAGGACGAAGAUGAAGAAAGUGAAGACGAAGAGGAUGAAAAAAGAAGAGAGUGAGUUUGAGGAAGACUUUGAAGAUAAAGAGGAUCACAAUUGCUGAGGGAAAUGACCAGAGCUCUGGAGAAAAGAAAGAACUGUGAUGAUGCUUAUACUAACAAAUUCCCAUAACAGUUGGUUCUAUUAUUAUUUCAUUAGUGAAUAGAGAAUGAUAUGCAAUAUAAUGUUGACCAAAUAAAAAUUCAAAAUGAAUGUGGCUAGAGAAAUUGUUUUUAUUAAAGAAAAAGAUAAAUCAUUCUGUACGUAUGUGAAACCAACCAAAUCUUCAGUUAGUACAUAUUAUUUGGAUGGAUUUUUCAAUACAUAUAUGUUGAAGCAUAAAAAUAAAUAUCUAAUUUUGAUGGCAUAUUUGAUAAC